UCCACCGGUUUUUCCUAUAGCUUCCGUGGUCCUUUUCACGGAGAGAGAGAGAGAGAGAGAGAGAGAGAGAGAGGAUGCGCUGCACGUGUUCCCUAACGCGGAGCUGAAGAGGAAGGAGAAGCAGAAGUAGGGGAAAUCGGGCGGCUCAGAAUCGUCGGGCCUCAACUCCAACGUCUUCCGUGGCAUCAAGUGCAAGGGCUACCCUGUCCCCACCCCCAUCCAACGCAAGACCCUACCCCUCAUCCUCUCCCUCCAGACCUUGGAAAUUCACCAAAGAGCUUGUACAGGUUUGUUUCACAGGCUUUUUGAUGCGGACAUCCGAGCACCAUACGAGAAGUGAAGCGGCUGUAGGUCUGGGUGCAGGAACUGGGAAACAUCUGUUUCAAAAUGUAAAGUAGUAUAAAUUAGUUAGGAAGCGGGAGUGGGAGAGAGAGGUCUGAAGCACAAUUCGAAGAGGGAGCGGCACCCAGUUAGAAGGAUCCUGCAACUAAGGAACUUUCUUCUGCUAUACAGAGUUGCGUACGUUCACAUUCUUUCAAGUCAUGGAAACAAAUGCCUAUGAGAAAGCAUAAAAUGGCAGUCAAAAUUUUUCUCAAAUCCGUGUGCAUUUUUCAGGGGAUUGUUGGAUGUGGGGGAAUAUGUGACAUUUGAAAGUGGGCAAGAAACACUGCUCAGUGCCUAAUGCCUAUGUGCCAGCAGAGCUGAGAGAUCCCAAACAAGUGCAGAAGAUGCGGCCGCAAAAGGCUAAUAGUCUCUUAUAUGAAGAGGUUAUCUGCGAAGGUGAAAAGGCAUGGGAAAAAUGGGAAAAGUGGAAACAAAGUCUUCAGAGCUGUAGAUUCAGAUGCUUCAUAAGCAGGUUGGAGCCCUUGGGACGCCUCUGCCAAUGCAGGGGAAAGAAAAAGAAAGGGUUCCAAAGCCUCAAUUGAUCUAGCUUUCGCUCUUUUUUCAUGUGGCCCCGUCAUUUCAGGCCAUCUUUCUUUCUUCUUAAUGUGCUGUGGCAUUUUGUUUUAUUAAUUAAUACUCUGCUUAUGCAAAUAUUGUUUUCUUUAUUCA